ACCAAUACGUUACUAAUAUACAUAAAGGUUAUACAUAAAAAAAAAACUUCUAAAUAUGCCGUUUUUUUAACCUGUUUAAUUUUGCAUAUAUUUUAGUUAGCACUUUUUUAAAACUACUAACAUUGAUUGAACUAUAUCCUAAUGGUUCUCAAAGUAAUCAAAGAUGGGAACAUAUUUACCACACUUAUAAAAUAAGGAGUGAACAUUCACGAUAAAUAAGCUUGCAACCCCCAAACAUUCUAUACAUGCCGACCCUAUAUUAUAACUGUGGUAUACCCGUGCAACCGCGAGCAACCUUAGCCAAAGCUCAACGAGGGGCGGAAGGGGGUUAGGGUCGGCAACGCGCAUGUAACUCAUCUGGAGUUGCAGGCGUACAUAGGCUACAGAUACUGCUAACCAUCAUGCGGGCCGUAUGCUUGUUUGCCACCGACGUAGUAUAAAAAAAAAUUGACCUUUUGAGAAACCUGCAUCUACACUAGCGCCCCUAGCGGCGAAAUUAAACGGGGUAGCCCUCAUUACUAAAAUAAUCUAGUACGAGUAUAACUGGAUCAAACAUGAGAGGUGGGGGGAAAUGACCAAACGGGAUUACUUAUGUAUCUUUCAGUAGGAGUAGCAGAGAAAGAGAUAUUAUUGUUUGUCCUUGUCACAGUCUCAUUUUUUUAUUCCCCACCGUGUAGUAAAACUCCACGAUAUGUCAGAUUAUGUAAUUUAUUGAAUCACUAUUACACGGUAGGUACUACAAGUAUUCUCCAUAAUAAUUUUAAUUGAACACCGUUUACUCGUGUGACGCUUCCGACCCGUGCGGCCGCUAAUACCAGAAUGCCUGCCAUGCUCUCACUUCCUGUCCCACCAACCUGCCAUAACUGACAGCUAAUUUUCAACUGAUUUUAAGAUUACCCUCAAAUUAUUACCUAUUAAAUUAAUUUAGUCAAAACACCUUACAACCGUAUAUAUUAGUACUUUAUGGUGGGCAACAAAUAACCCGACCAAAUUACGUAGGUUGUUUUUGGUAUGAAACGUGUUUUAUUUUUGUCGCAAAGCGUACGAGUAUGUUCUGUUCUGUGCCCCUCGCGGUUGCACGCGUAGCCGCGUAUACCACAGAUAUAGGAUCCUACCAUCUAUGUAAAACUCGAAUUGACCUGGUAGAGGUCACUCGCAUUUGAACUAAACUAGUCGUGUCUUGAAUACUUAACGACUUGAUUCAUGACAGAAAUGUUUUAUAAGCGGCAGAGUUUAAAUAAAGAAGACUAACAACCCCCAUACAACGCUGCGAGAAUCGUAAAUGUUACCUAUAUAUGUCAUUUUUUAUUUAAACUUUAUUGCACAAUACAAGAAGAGUACAAAUGGUGGACUUAGUUUCAGAAGGCAUUCUCUACCAGUCCAGAUUGAUACGUCCAUGCGUUCCUGAGAAAAAGGAUGUUGACAGAGAGACAGAGAGACAGACGGACAACAAAGUGAUCCUAUACGGGUUCCAUUUUUUCCUUUCGAGGUACGGAACCCCAGGGAUCGGAAACCGGUAUUUUUUGUAUGGGAACGAAAACGGUAUUUUUUCGUUCUUUGUUAAUUACUUCAUUUCUAAUUAGGCAAUCUAAUAAUACGAAGUCGUUAUCUGAAAACACAGCCGAGUCCUACAUUUAGAGUAUAAAAUAAACUGAAAUAUAUGGUUAUUUCGAUGUUUUUGCAAAAAACCGGUUCCGAUCCCUGCGGAACCCUAAAAAAACACAAAGAACGCAGUGUUAUGUGGAGGUUACACGUCUUGAAUAUUAUCUAGCCUCUGCUACCGGUAAGCUGCGAGUUUUUUUCUGAUCGCCCCUUAAACUUUGAUUGCUUUUUUCCCCUAACUCAUGUUUUAUUUCAGCCCACAAUGCGGUCACGCCUACACCGGACGCUUUCAAAAAAGUUGAACACGUUCUGCGAGCACUCUACGCUCCACGGGGCGUAUUACUUGAAGAAAGGAAAAGGCACUGUUGUCUUGUGGAGCGUCAUAAUUGUCGCCGGGUUUGCGCUGUGGGGCGUGCUUGGGCACAUGAUCUACCAGAAGUAUAGCUCCGACCCCACCGUCACUGUGGUGGAGUCUACCUACUACGGGACUGACCGGAUUCCCUUUCCAUCAUUCAUGAUUUGCGACCCAUUACCACUGUAUGGACCUAAAACGGGAAACAUAUCUCUCAUAUUAUACAGCCGAGGCUAUGGUGCCAGUGAGAUGAACGACUUUUUUGGCAGUUUACUUGACAUUCGGGAUGUUCAUUAUAUGCCGCCAAUUCAUGUCCGGAAAAUGCACGCUCUUCUGCAAGAUCUUGGAUUUACAUUCGAGAUAAUACUUGAAAUGGUAAG